UACGGUGGGUGCAAGCGUUAUCCGGAUUCACUGGGUUUAAAGGGUGCGUAGGUGGGCAGGUAAGUCAGUGGUGAAAUCCCCGAGCUUAACUUGGGAACUGCCGUUGAUACUAUCUGUCUUGAAUAUCGUGGAGGUUAGCGGAAUAUGUCAUGUAGCGGUGAAAUGCUUAGAGAUGACAUAGAACACCAAUUGCGAAGGCAGCUGGCUACACGGUAAUUGACACUGAGGCACGAAAGCGUGGGGAGCAAACAGG
rnacentral:rRNA from 1 species